ACAUAUUGGUGUGUUUCGGACUCAUAAUCCGUUGGUCGACAGUUCAAGUCUGUC
rnacentral:tRNA from 1 species